GAUGAACGCUGGCGGCGUGCCUAAUACAUGCAAGUCGAACGAACGGACGAGAAGCUUGCUUCUCUGAUGUUAGCGGCGGACGGGUGAGUAACACGUGGAUAACCUACCUAUAAUACUGGGAUAACUUCGGGAAACCGGCGCUAAUACCGGAUGAUAUUUUGAACCGCAUUGUUCAAAAGUGAAAGACGGUCUUGCUGUCACUUAUAGAUGGAUCCGCGCUGCAUUAGCUAGUUGGUAAGGUAACGGGUUACCAAGGCAACGAUGCAUAGCCGACCUGAGAGGGUGAUCGGCCACACUGGAACGGAGACACGGUCCAGAGUCCUACGGGAGGCAGCAGUAGGGAAUCUUCCGCAAUGGGCGAAAGCCUGACGGAGCAACGCCGCGUGAGUGAUGAAGGUCCUCGGAUCGUAAAACUCUGUUAUUAGGGAAGAACAUAUGUGUAAGUAACUGUGCACAUCUUGACGGUACCUAAUCAGAAAGCCACGGCUAACUACGUG
rnacentral:rRNA from 1 species